rnacentral:rRNA from 1 species
UACAGAGGGUGCGAGCGUUAAUCGGAAUUACUGGGCGUAAAGCGUGCGUAGACGGUUAUUUAAGUCGGGUGUGAAAGCCCCGGGCUCAACCUGGGAAUUGCAUUCGAGACUGAAUAGCUAGGGUACGGUAGAGGGAAGCGGAAUUUCCGGUGUAGCGGUGAAAUGCGUAGAUAUCGGAAGGAACAUCAGUGGCGAAAGCGGCUUCCUGGACCAGUACCGACGUUCAGGCACGAAGGCCAGGGGAGCAAACGGG